rnacentral:misc_RNA from 1 species
GAUGAAGAACGUAGCGAAAUGCGAUAAGUAGUGUGAAUUGCAGAAUUCCGUGAAUCAUCGAAUCUUUGAACGCACAUUGCGCCUUCUGGUAUUCCGGAAGGCAUGCCUGUUCGAGAGUCAUUAACAACCGUUUCGAUCCCUUUCUUUCAGAAAUUACAAAGAGGAAAAGGGUUUGGUUAUGGUGGAGGAGGGGAAGGGAGCGUUUAGCCUGUAAAAAAAGAGGCUGUGUUCCGCCUCCCCCCCAAAAUUGUACAGGCGGUCGUGUGCGCCCACGCAUCGAGGUGUUGUAAAAGCUGCCACGGCACUUUUCACCUGUGCAGUGCGAGAUUGGCCAGCCGGUUUAAAAACCCCUCCAAACAAUCAAAGGUUGACCUCGGAUCAGGUAGGGAUACCCGCUGAACUUAAGCAUAUCAAUAAGCGGAGGA